rnacentral:rRNA from 1 species
AUGCUUCUGUCUUGGCGUUGCUUCGGUCGUCCCGUGGCUUUGAUUUCCUAUCUCUGCCCUACUCAAUUGUGGUCGUGGGCGCGGCUCUGA